AAUAGAUACCCGGGUAGUCCACGCCGUAAACGAUGAGUGCUAAGUGUUAGGGGGUUUCCGCCCCUUAGUGCUGCAGCUAACGCAUUAAGCACUCCGCCUGGGGAGUACGGCCGCAAGGCUGAAAACUCAAAGGAAUUGACGGGGGACCCGCACAAGCGGUGGAGCAUGUGGUUUAAUUCGAAGCAACGCGAAGAACCUUACCAGGUCUUGACAUCCCGCUGACCGGCAUGGAGACAUGUCUUUCCCUUCGGGGACAGCGGUGACAGGUGGUGCAUGGUUGUCGUCAGCUCGUGUCGUGAGAUGUUGGGUUAAGUCCCGCAACGAGCGCAACCCUUGAUCUUAGUUGCCAGCAUUCAGUUGGGCACUCUAAGGUGACUGCCGGUGACAAACCGGAGGAAGGUGGGGAUGACGUCAAAUCAUCAUGCCCCUUAUGACCUGGGCUACACACGUGCUACAAUGGACGAGUACAAAGGGCUGCGAACCCGGCGAGGGGGAGCCAAUCCCGAUAAAACUCGUUCCCAGUUCGGAUUGCAGGCUG
rnacentral:rRNA from 1 species